rnacentral:miRNA from 1 species
AGGCCGAAGUGGAGCAGGGUU